rnacentral:rRNA from 1 species
AUUGAACGCUGGCGGCAUGCUUUACACAUGCAAGUCGAACGGUAACAGGCCGCAAGGUGCUGACGAGUGGCGAACGGGUGAGUAAUGCAUCGGAACGUGCCCAGUCGGGGGGGAUAACGCAGCGAAAGCUGUGCUAAUACCGCAUACGAUCUAUGGAUGAAAGCGGGGGACCGUAAGGCCUCGCGCGAUUGGAGCGGCCGAUGUCAGGUUAGCUAGUUGGUGGGGUAAAGGCCCACAAAGGCGACGAUCUGUAGCUGGUCUGAGAGGACGACCAGCCACACUGGGACUGAGACACGGCCCAGACUCCUACGGGAGGCAGCGGUGGGGAAUUUUGGACAAUGGGCGCAAGCCUGAUCCAGCAAUGCCGCGUGCAGGAAGAAGGCCUUCGGGUUGUAAACUGCUUUUGUACGGAACGAAACGGCCUGGGUUAAUACCCUGGGCUAAUGACGGUACCGUAAGAAUAAGCACCGGCUAACUACGUGCCAGCAGCCGCGGUAACAC